rnacentral:misc_RNA from 1 species
AAGUCGUAACAAGGUUUCCGUAGGUGAACCUGCGGAAGGAUCAUUAACACGUAUCCAAACGUUAAACAACCCCGUGAACAUACAACCUGCUCUGGUCGCCCGCUCGCAUGGACAAGCCCAGUAAAUCAAGCCCCGGAAAGUUUUUGAUUUGGGACCUCUGUGCGCGUGAGAAAAACUGACAGCGAUUCAUAGAAGCGGUAGGUCAAGUGACACGGCGUCCCCAAGUGACCAGUGAAUGAAAGUGUCCUUCCGUGUAUACCGAGCUAACACCGCUCCCUUCCGAACCCCACUUUAUUGCCUUGCCUGUAAGCAUCCAUACGGAUGGGCAGGCCCCCCGAACAACUGUUAACAAUGGAUAUCUUGGUUCUC